AAUCCGGGAGAUCCCUCUCCGUCAUCCAGCUGAGGCGGGAAAUGGAGGAACAGACGUGGCUUACGAGUUCGAGUCCCAUUCCCGAAAAAGCUGUUUGUCAACCUCCUGAAUAGCAUAAUACAAAGUUUAAAUAGGGUAUGCGUUAGAAGGGAUUCGCGAGAGUCCCUGGCUUAGACCAGACUUUUAUGCUCUCUGGUUGUUCUGUUUGCCAAGGAAUGGUGGAAAGCGCCAGAUAUUGGGGCCACAAAGGGAAAACGAUACCAUUUUGGCUGGUUUUUAUUUAGGACAAACAGAACCCACUGCACACUACAGCAAGAGUAGCCAAGAUGUUGACCAUCUGAAACAAGGAGCCAUUUCGGUUUUACCAACUCAGACUGAGAUUGUGGCUGAGUUUGAUAAGUGCAGACUGCUAUUCUUUCUUAAGACCUCUCCCUUUGGAGCACAUUAAAAGUGGAGAGAACUGCUGUCACCUUGGUCCACGGUCUUCGGGAUCUUUCCAGGAGGUUUUCGAAUAGAUUAAGCCAGUCACUCCUACUGCUUACCUCUGCAGGACCGGCAUCCCUAGUGCCCUGCAGUGGGAUU
rnacentral:sRNA from 1 species